GCGAGAAAAGCAGUUUCCCCUCUUUCUAGUGCCUUCUGGCUGCUGGCGAAAUGAUGAACAUGUUGAGCUUUACAAGCCAGAGAUUCGAUGAGAACAGAAACACACCUGCCAGGAAAAGAAAAGGCUGCUUAGAGUGAGGAUUCAGGACCUGGAGCCCACUCUGCGGAGAGGGACUGGGGUCAGGUCCUGAUUGGCUUGUGCUCUUCUCUUUUACGCAGGUCUUAUGUAUCAACAAAAUCACACCAGACCACCCAAAGCUGGCCCUGCCAACUGACCACACACACCCCUGCCUGAAAGGCAUGUUUCAAUGUGCAACAGACGCCUGCCACUCAGGGGACAUCAAAUGUUCAUGAGAACUCGCUAACCUCGAAACAGGUGACUGUCAAGACUGGCUGAGGAUUGAAACUCUGGGGAAAUUUGCUAGAAUAUGUGUGGAUUGCUGGGCCAGCUUCCCGAUGGGCUGAUCUUUAGGUGCCGGGCUGGGGAUGCGCAUUCUCAGCACUGCUGCUGGGUGGUUCUGUGAAGUAGACCCUUGGUAACCACUGCAUUAGACCACCUAGGUCUCUGCCACUUCCACACUGUGGACACUUCGAUGGAUCAUUCUUUGUGGUGGGCACUGUCCAGUGCAUUGCUGGAUAUUCAGCAGCAUUCCUGAACUCUUCUUGCCAGAUACCAGUAGCACCCUUCCUGUCCCCUCCCAUGUCACCAUAUGACAACCCAAAAGAUCUCCAGACGUUGCCACAUGUUCCCAGGCAGCAAACUCCCUUCCAUGGUAACUACUGUCCUAGGCUGUUUACAAGGUUAUUAGUGAUGGUGACAGCCAUAAUGAGGAACCAGGCUCUGUGCCGAGCACUCACUGCAUCUCAUUCUGUGUAAUCCUCAUGGUCAUAUUCUUAGGCAAUCUUUUCAUCAUUGUUUAUAAAACUCAGAGAAUUUAAACAGCUUUCCCAAGGUCAUGGGUAAUCAGUGGCCACAGCUUGAUGCCUACCUCUGUUUGACUCCAAAGUGGACUCAGGGGUCAGAUAGAUCCAGAGGGUGACAGAAACCUCAUCCUGGAGACUGGGGGUUCUUCCAAGGCUUGUUCUUGGUUCUACAAAUUCAAAAAAACCACCCGUGGCCUGGCUCUGGGCUGAAGCUGAGUCCUGGCUUGAAAUCCCCUGCCUUAAUCUCUCUUCGAAGACUUUUCUGCAUUCAUCUGAGUCCUCAUCCUCCAAGGCAGGGCUCAGGCUUGGGCUCAGGCUCCCAGCCAUGUAUCCCUCCUGGACCAUUCCUGACUCCUUUCCAGUAUCCUUAUCACUUGUACCACAUACGUUGGCCUUUGAUCCUGUGUACUGUUGGAUUUGUCUUUACUUCACAGGUUCAUCUUGUCUCCCCAAGAACAAUGAGAGUUGCCUCAAGGGGUAGAACCAUGCUUUUUGUUUUCUUUUGAAUUCAUUACAGCACAGCCAAAAGCUCAACACACAAAACACACUCAGUAAAUAUCUGUUGAACAGAAUAAAAGCCAUUCCGCAUAACCAACCCUGAUCUCUUUUGCUGGACUGUAAACCAACCUACCUAUUGUUAGUCCUUCACAGAUUAUAUGGUGGAUCUGAACACAUCAGGUAGAACCUUUGAUAAACUUAAAGUCCUUCAUUGAAUCACUCUGUAGCCACUGUUUUCUCUAGGACAAAAGCUUUAAAUAUUUUGAGAAAAUUGUACAAG
rnacentral:lncRNA from 10 species